AGAAUUAAUUAUCCGUAAUGAAAAACGAAUGCUUCAAGAAGCUGUUGAUGCUUUAAUAGAUAAUGGU
rnacentral:tRNA from 1 species